rnacentral:rRNA from 1 species
AGGGUUUGAUCAUGGCUCAGAUUGAACGCUAGCGGGAUGCCUUACACAUGCAAGUCGAACGGCAGCACGGACUUCGGUCUGGUGGCGAGUGGCGAACGGGUGAGUAAUGUAUCGGAACGUGCCCAGUAGCGGGGGAUAACUACGCGAAAGCGUAGCUAAUACCGCAUACGCCCUACGGGGGAAAGCAGGGGAUCGUAAGACCUUGCACUAUUGGAGCGGCCGAUAUCGGAUUAGCUAGUUGGUGGGGUAACGGCUCACCAAGGCGACGAUCCGUAGCUGGUUUGAGAGGACGACCAGCCACACUGGGACUGAGACACGGUCCAGACUCCUACGGGAGGCAGCAGUGGGGAAUUUUGGACAAUGGGGGAAACCCUGAUCCAGCCACCCCGCGUGUGCGAUGAAGGCCUUCGGGUUGUAAAGCACUUUUGGCAGGAAAGAAACGUCAUGGGUUAAUACCCCGUGAAACUGACGGUACCUGCAGAAUAAGCACCGGCUAACUACGUGCCAGCAGCCGCGGUAAUACGUAGGGUGCAAGCGUUAAUCGGAAUUACUGGGCGUAAAGCGUGCGCAGGCGGUUCGGAAAGAAAGAUGUGAAAUCCCAGAGCUUAACUUUGGAACUGCAUUUUUAACUACCGGGCUAGAGUGUGUCAGAGGGAGGUGGAAUUCCGCGUGUAGCAGUGAAAUGCGUAGAUAUGCGGAGGAACACCGAUGGCGAAGGCAGCCUCCUGGGAUAACACUGACGCUCAUGCACGAAAGCGUGGGGAGCAAACAGGAUUAGAUACCCUGGUAGUCCACGCCCUAAACGAUGUCAACUAGCUGUUGGGGCCUUCGGGCCUUGGUAGCGCAGCUAACGCGUGAAGUUGACCGCCUGGGGAGUACGGUCGCAAGAUUAAAACUCAAGGAAUUGACGGGGACCCGCACAAGCGGUG